GGGGGUUGGUGCCGCAAGGUGCCAGCAACCGGCGAACGGGUGCGUAACACGUGAGCGACCUACCGAGGUGCGGGGGAUAGCCGGCCCAACGGCCGGGUAAUACCGCAUACGUUCCUUUGGGGGCAUCCCUGGGGGAGGAAACCUGCUGGGUUACACCAGUGGGGCAGCUCGAGGGGCUCGCGGCCUAUCAGCUAGUUGGCGGGGUAACGGCCCACCAAGGCGAUGACGGGUAGCUGGUCUGAGAGGAUGGCCAGCCACAUUGGGACUGAGAGACGGCCCAGACUCCUACGGGAGGCAGCAGUGGGGAAUCUUGCGCAAUGGCCGAAAGGCUGACGCAGCGACGCCGCGUGGAGGAUGACGCCCUUCGGGGUGUAAACUCCUGUUGCCCGGGACGAACGCCCUUUUGGAAGGGCCUGACGGUACCGGGUGAGGAAGCACCGGCUAACUCUGUGCCAGCAGCCGCGGUAAUACAGAGGGUGCGAGCGUUGUCCGGAAUCACUGGGCGUAAAGGGCGCGUAGGUGGUCGGGUAAGCGUGUGGUGAAAGCCCGGGGCUCAACCCCGGGUCGGCCAUGCGAACUGCCCGACUGGAGCAUGGUAGAGGCCAAUGGAAUUCCGGGUGUAGCGGUGGAAUGCGUAGAGAUCCGGAAGAACACCGGUGGCGAAGGCGGUUGGCUGGGCCAUGGCUGACACUGAGGCGCGACAGCGUGGGGAGCAAACAGGAUUAG
rnacentral:rRNA from 1 species